UAAACCUGACAGUCUGAGACCUCUCCACCAAAUACAUAAUGCAUAAUAUUAUAUUACGUUAUACCUAUCUUCAUGCUCCUCAUUGAUUAGUGCGUGAUAUGUGUGUUUCUUUGAGCCUAAUCUUUCCUUGAUUCUUUUUCUUCACAACGGAUCCGGAACGUUACUCCCUCCAUAAAUCUGUUUUAAUCCUGCAAUUAAACCACCAUUUAUUUCCAAUUAAUUUCCCAUUAUUGGCUUUACCACCUCAAUCACAACAAGUCACGGUAUUCCCAUUCGGUAUUCCCAUUCCUCUCGUGAUCACAAUAUGCAAACACUACCACAAAUUUUCCCAAGGAUAGAGACGACAAGUUCCAAGUUUUCAAGCAGACACAGACACAGUGGGUGCAGAUCAUAACCGAGGAAGACGUUUGAUUCAUCGUUGAAGGUAUACUCCACCCCAACUCAAAUUGCUCAUUCAUUCCAUAUAGCAUAUUUUUCGUAGCCUAUCAUCUUACAUCACUCCCACAUUAAUUCCAACAAAACAAAGAAACAAUCAAUGUAACAUCACCGAUCAAACAAACUAAUCGAACACCCGCCG